rnacentral:rRNA from 1 species
GAUGAACGCUGGCGGCGUGCCUAAUACAUGCAAGUCGAGCGAAAAGACGAGGAGCUUGCUCCUCUGACGUUAGCGGCGGGCGGGUGAGUAACACGUGGAUAACCUACCUAUAAGACGGGGAUAACUUCGGGAAAGCGGAGCUAAUACCGGAGAAUAUCUUAAAAAGGAGGGUUCAAUAGUGGAAGCGGGUUUUGCUGUCACUUGUAGAUGGAUCCGCGCCGCAUUAGCUAGUUGGUAAGGUAACGGCCUACCAAGGCAACGAUGCGUAGGUGACCUGAGAGGGUGAUCGGCCACACUGGAACUGAGACACGGCCCAGACUCCUACGGGAGGCAGCAGUAGGGAAUCUUCCGCAAUGGGCGAAAGCCUGACGGAGCAACGCCGCGUGAGUGAUGAAGGUCUUCGGAUCGUAAAACUCUGUUAUUAGGGAAGAACAAAUGUGUAAGUAACUAUGCACGUCUUGACGGUACCUAAUCAGAAAGCCACGGCUAACUACGUG